rnacentral:rRNA from 1 species
UACGUAGGGGGCAAGCGUUGUCCGGAUUUAUUGGGCGUAAAGAGCGUGUAGGCGGCCAGAAUAGGUCCGUUGUGAAAACUCGAGGCUCAACCUCGAGACGCCGAUGGAAACCAUCUGGCUAGAGUCCGGAAGAGGAGAGUGGAAUUCCUGGUGUAGCGGUGAAAUGCGCAGACGUAUCAGGAAGAACACCCGUGGCUAAGGC